rnacentral:lncRNA from 1 species
GAAGGAUAUGUGUCAAAACUGAAAGUAAGCAGCGGGAUGUGCUAUUCGGGACACUGUUUCGAUUAGUUAAUGUUUUCAAAACCUUCUGGGCUUUUGGUAUGUUAUAGUACACCGAAUAAGCUUUCCAUAGACUCUGAAACGGACUAAAUCCGAUAUCGGAGGAGAGAGUUAUGACAUUUCAAAGUAGUAGUGUCAAAACUUCCCAACAAGUGCGGUGCAGUCCAUUUGAACGGAAUUUCUGGGCUGAUGUGUUCGGAAUUUGGAAAUGGU